rnacentral:rRNA from 1 species
AGGGAAUAUUGGACAAUGGGGGCAACCCUGAUCCAGCCAUGCCGCGUGAGUGAAGAAGGCCCUCGGGUUGUAAAGCUCUUUUGUCCGGAAAGAAAAGCUUCGGGUUAAUACCCCGGGGUUCUGACGGUACCGGAAGAAUAAGCACCGGCUAACUUCGUGCCAGCAGCCGCGGUAAGACGAAGGAUGCAAGCGUUAUCCGGAUUCAUUGGGUUUAAAGGGUGCGUAGGCGGGCUUGUAAGUCAGUGGUGAAAUCUCUCAGCUUAACUGAGAAACUGCCAUUGCUACUGCAGGCCUAGAGUAUAGAAGACGUUGGCGGAAUAUGACAUGUAGUGGUGAACUUCUUAGAAAUGUCAUAGAACACCGAUUGCGAAGGUAGCUAACGAACCUAUAACUGACGCUGAGGCACGAAAG